CUACAGGCAGCUCCAAAUGACCCUGGGUGAUGUUUGACGAGCUCCUGUGAACCUCGACAAAUGGGGUCCUGACCACAGCUCUGUGAGAAAACAGUGGGUGAUCUGAGAGAGAGAGCUGAACCUGGCUGAGAAAAACAAGCACCCAAUGUGACUGUAACCCUCAUCAGCAUUACGAUUUUGUUCAUCAUUUCCAAAUUUCCACUCCUCAAGAUGGGCCAGACUCUUGAAGGGAAGCAAGCGAAUACAUUCUAAAUCCAGCCAUCCGUCCGAUAAGGUGAGGUCCGUGUAGCCAAGUGCCUGCCAACUGGAAUGUGAGCAAAAGUUUUGCGUCACUCUGUCUCAAGCAAUUAAAAGUGGAACAUGCUCUCCAGAGUCUGUUUCUCCUACCUGCUUGCCUAGAAGAGGCCGACCAGGAGGAACAUCAACACCCAACGGUUUAUUCCCGACCCUCUGGGAUAAACUCUCACUGUGAUCCAGACCCCUGGGAAGUGGAACCAAGCGCCCCUGGUUUAGAAUGGCAGGCCUACAGGCACACAGCGCAUCGGGGUGAAGCCGUUUUGACUCUGACUUCAGGGCCCUUGAGAGAGCCGCUUGACUUCCCUGGGAGGAGUGUCUCGUUCGGAAUCAUUUUUUCCGGGAGUGACAUCCCUGAAUGUCACAGAUCAAUCUUCAUUUACGUAAGAAUUCCCAUGAAAACUCAUUUCGCUAAGAAUUCCCAUGAAAAGUUACAGACAAUAUGUAAAUGAC
rnacentral:lncRNA from 1 species